rnacentral:rRNA from 1 species
GACGAACGCUGGCGGCGUGCCUAAUACAUGCAAGUCGAGCGAAUUUUGUCUGGUUCUUCCACUAUAAAAACUUAGCGGCGAACGUGUUGGUAACACGUAAAGAACCUGCCUCAUAGACUGGUACAACUAUUGGAAACGAUAGCUAGUACCGGAUAACAGCAUUAGCUGCAUGGUUUAUGUUUAAAAGUUAUUUUUUCUAACACUAUGAGAUGGCUUUGCGGUGCAUUAACUAGUUUGUGGGGUAAAGGCCUACCAACGCGACGAUGCGUAUCCGGCCUGAGGGGAUGAUCAGCCACACUGGAACUGAAACAAGGUCCAGACUCCUACGGGAGGCAGCAGUGGGGAAUAUUGCACAAUGGGCGAAAGCCGGAGCCAGCCAGGCCGCGUGGGUGAAGAAGGUCUUCGGAUUGUAAAGCACUUUAAGCAGGGAGGAAGAGCAGUAAGUUAAUACCUUGCUGUUUUGACGUUACCAACAGAAUAAGCACCGGCUAACUUCGUG